rnacentral:tRNA from 1 species
GGCGGUAUAGCUCCAUGGUAAAGCAUGUGCUUAGCAUGCCUGAAGUCCUGGGUUCAAUCCCCAGUACCACCA